CGGCGGCGGCGGCGGCGGCGGCUCCGGCUCCGGCUCCGGCUCCGGUUGAGCGGGCGAGGAGGAGGAGGAGGAAGGGCUGUGCGGCGGCUGCGCCUCUGCGUGUGUCGGCGGGCGGGUGGCCGGGAUGGAGCACCACCAGCCCGCCAGCCGCUACCAAGUGCUCUUUGUCAUCUGUCCCUAAAUUGUGCAUUACUAUCUCAUUGCCUGAAAUGUCUGCUUCUGGUCCAAGCUUGUUCACAGAAAAGGUGAUUUGAAUGAUGCUUUAUGAAUCUGUACUGAAGCUAAGAAAAAGAAAUUCAGCAGUCUUCUGCAGUAUGUAAAAAUGGGUGAACAACUGAAUGUUAGAGCUUGGGAUUGCCUUUUUCUGUGAAACAUGAUUUUCCAAGUAACUGAGUAAUGAGGGAGACUUUUUCACAAGUGUAUGAAUGAUAUAGGCACGUACAUCCCAUUGAAAGCCACAUAUGUAAAUUGCUUAAGAAUUAUAAUCAAUCCCCUCCCCAUGUUACUUCAUUAAGGCUUUUGAUUAAUAAUCUUUUAAUAAUCUUUGGUCAGGUAGUUGAUUGUCUUGUACUAUAGGGUAGCUUAAGUGUUAAGGGGUAAAGUAGGUAAGUAGCAAACCAGGAUGGAUGAAACCAAAGGUCAGUGACCAGAUGUCACUUAAGCUGUCACUGAGCUCAUCAUACCACUGUAGCACCUGGAGUUGAGUGGGGUGUUGGAAAUGCUGCUUUGGUUUCUAAGUAAUGAAUGAUGAAGAACUCCAAGACUCCAGCCUGCUAUUUAUCAUGAAUUUUGUUUGUUUCUUUUUUUAAAGUUGAUGAAUUUUGUGUGUCAAGUUGUGUACGUUGUUUAGAAACAGAAUUAAGUGAUGAAAAUUGAUUCUAUAAACACUUUGCCUAUGUAAUGCUACAUGUUGUGAAGAGUUGUACAAUUACAAUGAACCCUUAAUAUUCUGUAUUUCUUGACUCCAUUAUCAUUGACUUCUUAUGGUCAUAAUGUUAUCUUUUUAACCUGAAUCAAAGCCAAGUUAUCUUUGUAUGUCUCAAACACACAUGAAAGUCAACCUACACAGGAAAUGUGAACAGAAGAAAAAUUUCUUCCUCUUUUGUUUCUUUUCAUGGGACUAAGUCUAAUAGUGAUUGGCAAAUAAAUAAAAAUUUUACCCGAGUAUUAUUUAUUUU
rnacentral:lncRNA from 1 species